ACAGAUGUGUGAUGGCCCAUCAGAUAUGUCGUCACUCAGUUGCCAGGCUAACAUGCUGGAGAAAAAUGGGUAAUGGGUAUAACUUUUUGCUCUGCUAUCAGAUUUGGGCGAAAUUAGUAUUGUUGGAAAGCUAAUUCAAUUAUCUAUCUGUUGGUGGGUUAUGAGAUCAAAAAUUCAUAGUAUAAUAAGAGAUAUUCUCAUUUGAAGUUGACUAUACUAAUAUCCUUCCCA
rnacentral:lncRNA from 1 species